UAUACAUCUAUAUAUGUCUACACAUAUCUCUAUACACAUAUAUAUAUAUUUAUAUCUACAUCUAUAUUUCUACAUGUAUAUAGAUAUGUAUAUGUAUUUAUAUACAUAUAUAGAUAUAUUAAUAUUUAUAUCUAUGUCUAUAUAUACAAAUGUAUAUAUGCAGAUAUCUAUAUAUGUAUAUCUACAUAAAUAUCUACAUGCCGAUAUAUAUAUAUAUCUAUGUGUGUAUAUGAUAUCUAUAUACAUGUAGAUAAAGAUAGGCAUGUAUAUGCAUAUAUACAGAUACCUAUGUAUAUAUCUAUCUAUAUACAUAUAUACAUGUAGAUAUAUACAUACCUAUAUACAUGUAGAAAUAUAGAUGUAGAUAUAAAUAUAUAUAUGUGUAUAGAGAUAUGUGUAGACAUAUAUAGAUGUAUACAUAUAUAGAUAGAUAGGUCUAUAUAGAAAACCAUCUAUCUAUAUCUAGAUAGAGAUAUGUAUUGAUAGAUAUCUCUCCCUGUCUAUCUCUAGAUAGAUUAUCUAAUCUAUCUGUAAAACUAUCUUAAAACCAUACUAAUUUAAAAAUCAAGAUUCAUCUUAAUUUAAAAAUCUUAAUUUAAAAGUUAAGAACCAUCUUUAUUUUGUGGUUCAUAUACACCAUGGAAUGUUAGGCAGCCAUAAAAGAGAGUGAGAUCAAGUCCUUUGCAGGAACAUGGAUGGAGCUGGAUGGAGGUCUUUAUCCUUAACAAACUAAUGCAGGAACAGAAAACCAAAUACUGCAUGUUCUCAUUUACAAAUGGGAGCUAAAUUAUGAGAACACAUGAACACAUAGAGGGAAACAACAGACACUGGGGCCUCUGGGAGGGUGGAUGGUGGGAGGAAGCAGAAGAUCAGGAAAAACAAUUAAUGGGUACUAGGCUUAAUAGCUGGGUGGUGAAAUAAUCUGCACAACAAAUCCCUGUGACACUAGUUUACCUACAUAACAAACCUACGCAUGUGCCAUUGACCUGAAAAUAAAAGUUAAAAAAAUUAUUAAAAAUAUGUCAGUAAAAGUCUUUAACCAACACAAGAUGGUUCAUCCCAAGAGUCAUCUUAAUUUAAAAAUCUUCACAUCUUAAGAAGCUACACGGGAGGCUGCGGCAGGAGAAUGGCUUGAACCCAGCAGGCAGGGGUUGCAGUGAAGCGAGAUGGCAACAUUGUACUCCAGCCCGGGCGACAGUGUGAG
rnacentral:lncRNA from 1 species